AAAUGAUAAUGAACUUAUUGAUGGGUGGGCAGAGACUGUGCACGAAUUGUCAUGUUCUAGUUU
ensembl:snoRNA